AGGUAGGGUCUGGUACCUCACUGCUGAUUUCCCUGGCAAAUAAACCAGCAGCUGCUGGUCCAUGAACCAAGUUACCGCCAGGACCAGGGCACUGUGUGCAUGGAACAGGAUGCAUUCAUGGAACCCUUCAGCAGCACGGCUGGGGUCCUUCGGUGCAAGAUAUACCUCCUUCUCUUAGCAGGUGCCUGCUCGGGGCUGAGGGUGGCGGUGCCAUCACAGACCGUCCAUGGCAUCAGGGGUCAGGCUCUCUAUCUCCCUGUGCACUAUGGAUUCCACACUCCAGCAUCAGACAUCCAGGUCAUAUGGCUUUUUGAGAGACCCCAUACGAUGCCCAAGUACUUGCUGGGCUCUGUGAACAAGUCUGUGGUUCCCGACUUGGAAUACCAGCACAAAUUCACCAUGAUGCCACCCAAUGCCUCCCUGCUCAUCAACCCACUGCAGUUCACCGAUGAAGGCAAUUACAUUGUGAAGAUCAACAUCCAGGGAAACGGAACUCUGUCAGCUAGUCAGAAGAUUCAAGUCACGGUUGAUGACCCGGUCACGAAACCAGUGGUGCGGGUUCAGCCUUCCUCUGGGGCUGUGGAGCACGUGGGAAACCUGACUCUGACGUGCCUCGUGGAAGGGGGCAGCCGGCGGGCUUACCAGUGGCUGAAGAAUGGGCGGCCUGUCCACACCAGCUCCACCAGCUCCUUCUCUCUUCAGAACAACAGCCUUCAUAUUGCUCCAGUGACCAAAGAAGACAUUGGGAACUACAGUUGUCUGGUGAAGAACCCUGUCAGUAAGAUGGAAAGCGACAUCAUUAUGCCUACCAUAUACUAUGGACCUUAUGGACUUCAAGUUAAUUCUGAUAGAGGACUAAAAGUAGGGGAAGUGUUCACUGUGGAUAUUGGAGAAGCCAUCUUGUUUGAUUGUUCUGCUGAUUCUUAUCCUCCCAACACCUACUCCUGGAUCCAGAAGACAAACAAUGCCACAUAUGUCAUUAAGCAUGGGCCUCGCUUGGAAGUUGCAUCCGAGAAAAUAGCCCAGAAGACAACCGACUAUGUGUGCUGUGCUUACAACAACAUAACUGGAAGGCGAGAUGAAACUCACUUCACCAUCAUCAUCACUUCUGUAGGAAUAGAGAAGCUUGCACAGAAAGGGAAAUCAUUGUCCCCUUUAGCAAGUAUAACUGGAAUAUCACUCUUUUUGAUUAUAUCCAUGUGUCUUCUUCUCUUAUGGAAAAAAUUUCAACCCUACAAAGUUAUAAAACAAAAGCUAGAAGGCAGGCCAGAAACAGAAUACAGGAAAGCACGAACAUUUUCAGGCCACGAGGAUGCGCUGGAUGACUUUGGAAUAUACGAAUUUGUUGCUUUCCCAGAUGCUUCUGGUGUUUCCAGGGUUGGUUUUCUAGUGGCUGCUUAUCCUAGAAGUAGCAUUCUGCUUCAGCAGAGGUAUGCCCACGAGAUCUGUUCCAGCCUCUGAUGGUGUACCAGGGCAAGAUCUGCACAGUACAAUUUACGAAGUUAUUCAGCACAUCCCUGCCCAACAGCAAGAUCAUCCAGAGUAAGCAUUCGUGGGCAAAGCAGUGCAUUUAAGUGAAAUAAGGAAAGCACAUUUUGAGCAAGCAGUGGAAAUGUAUAUUCAUCUGGAAUCAGUGAAGAAAUCAAGCCAGUACCUCUUACUCAUUGGUCCUUUUAAUGCAGAAUAAAGUCAUUUAUAAAAAUCUGACCGCAGAUUUUCCAGCAUACACACAAUGCAUUGUGCAGCAGAGGAGCGUGGUGGGGCAAGAGUUCCCAGAGGACAGCCUUUAUCGUGCUGACAGAAGAAAGAAAAGGACGGGACUUUCCAAUUACUUUUUUUGUAUCAUGUUUCCUACAAAGCUCAAUUAGUUCUAAUCUAUACUUUCCCUUUCCUCAGCACCGACACUAUCCUAUCUGACCUACAAGUGUGGAAACUUUUAUUUGUAAAAUCUUCAGCAGGCUUUGUUUUAUUAAAUUUUAAAUUGCUACACUUUUAAAUUUUCAUUCCCAAAUUUCCUUCUUGCUGUUUGUACCAUGGAAUAAUAAAGAUGAUUGUCACAAAAGCAAGAGUGUGCCCUCUCCUAGGUUGUCAAUCACCAAUGGAGUUUUUUACAAGACUUGUAAAACACUGAAGGAAAUGACUUAUUAAAGUCUGAUUUUUACUUUUGUUCAAGGAACAGGAUUCAAAUAAAUUAUUAUGCUUUUGCUUGUAUAUA